GCCAACGCCAUACCACGUUGAACACAGGCCAUUUCUGCGUCUGAUCACUGAAGUUUAAGCAACGUCGGGCCGGUUAAGUUAUUUAGAGUGGGUGACCGCCUGGAACUCCCCCGGGGCUGUUGGAA
rnacentral:rRNA from 1 species